GAUGAAGAACGUAGCGAAAUGCGAUAAGUCGUGUGAAUUGCAGAAUUCAGUGAAUCAUCGAAUCUUUGAACGCACAUUGCGCCCCUUGGUAUCCCGAGGGGCAUGCCUGUUCGAGCGUCAUUUCACCACUCAAGCCUGGCUUGGUGUUGGGCGACGUCCUCUUUGGGGACGCGCCUCGAAACGCUCGGCGGCGUGGCACCGGCUUUAAGCGUAGCAGAAUCUUUCGCUUUGGAAGUCGGGGCCCCGUCUGCCGGAAGACCUGCUCGCAAGGUUGACCUCGGAUCAGGCAGGGAUACCCGCUGAACUUAAGCAUAUCAAUAAGCGGAGGA
rnacentral:misc_RNA from 1 species